AGUUGCUAUAGUGUCUCAGCAAAUAGCUAGAGUUCUCAGUCCCACACCAGGAACCAUCUCUGAUAGACAUUUCUAUCAACAGAUUUAUUUCGAUCCUGUUGUGUUGGACUCCUGUGCAUCCUCCCUCCUGAUCCUCCAGCCCAAUAUUUGUCAACAACAACAAAAAAAGUAGUUUGGAGGUACAGUGGAUAGAGCCUUGGAUAUGGAGUCAGAAAGACAGGAGAAAUGUGUUAUUUACCUGCUUCAUUUACAUGCUUUCAUUGAGGAUUCCAUUGGACAGCAAGCAUCUUUGGACAGAGCAUCUGACUUCCAGCCGAACUUCGGUCACUGUCACACUCAGGACAAUCUUCUUACUAAAGAUCCAGUACCAUAUUCUCUCCAUCCUGGCUGGCACCUGUGGGGAUGAGGGGUGGUGUUGAAAUAUAUGAGGUGUUCAGUUCCUUGUUGUUUGGAAGAAGCAUGUAACAUUGCCUUCUGUCUUCCUCAUCUUUAUAAUUCCAGGAGUAUACUUAUGGUCCAAACUCAACCUUGACUUUGAAGCAGACAUCAUGGAGAUUGAAGGCAAGGUCCCAGUGUCACAAUGGACAACCAUGUUCCUUGUAUCCUCUAGUGAUCUCAGCAAAAUCCAUCCACACUAAAUGAAUCAUCUUUGGAGAAUAGUUUUGGAGUUUUUCACAAAAGACUUGAGAAAUCAUUAGCAUAUAUAUGUUAUAGGUGGAAAUAUCCUGUACAGGAAACUGUUCCAUUUUCCCUAGCAAAAGUCUUUGGGUAUCUGGAGAAGCCACUAAGUAAGGGCCAAUCAAAUGGAGAGGGAUCCAGAAGAAUGGGCUCUUUCUGUCCUCACCUGUUAGGAAAUAGAGCAAAUGUCCAUAUUUCCUUCAAACAAACAUCCUGGAGUCAAAGUCUUUGUUCAAGAUAUACAUAGGAUGAGUCUCAAGGAGAUGAACCUAGGCUUGGGCCUGUACUCAGGUCCUGAAUUUUAGUGGUCACUUCAGGUUCCCCUGGUUAGGGGGGCAGUAAGGUAGUCUGGCAUUAUGUACUUUGAAGCAGACAUCUUGGGGAUGUUGAUGGCAGCUUCAGUGGCCUUUAUCCUCUAUGUACAUGUGCCGACUCCCAUCAGUUCUGAAUUUCUAGUUGAGAAGGUGAGUAGGCCCUGCCACUGGCUUUUCUCUUGCCAGAGGUCGGGCCCAUUCCACAAGUGGCACAUUUAGUUUGCAGUCCAUGGAACCACUUGAUCACCCCAAUAAUGAGAAU
ensembl:lncRNA